rnacentral:lncRNA from 1 species
GCUGUUCCCGUGAGAGUUGCCAAGUGGUGAUUUUCUAGCAUCAUUUUUACCACACUUAUUAGUUAGCUUUUUUAUUAUUAGGAGAUACGUUUCUUUUCCCUGCAUUUAUUUCUUAUAUCUGUACCGUCACUUAGAUUACUAUUUCGUCCAGUGGACUAUAAUCUAUUCACAAUUAUUGUUAAAUUUGACUCUCAGAUUAUCCUAGUUUUGAUCAGUAGCAACACAUUCAAAUUUAUUUUUAUGUUCUUUUAACAUGUUCUUACAUUCUUUGGGCAAUUUCUUUCAUUCUGUCACUAAAAUUGAUUCCAAGCUCCUCUCGUUCUUUUCCUAGCCUGCUCUAAUAUCAGCCCUUUCUCCGAAAAGCCUUUGUUCUUUUAGUGGAGGGUCAUAUUUAAAAACCAAGAACUAUGUGGUAGGGGUAAUCAUUUGCACAGCAGAAGUGUGGCUCCUAGGCCCUCAAAGCUAGAAAAUGUAGCCUGUAAUAUCUGCAUGUAUGAAAAUAUAUAAACAUAUAAAAUAAAUAUAUACAACAUAUAAAUGUUUAUAUACCCACAUUUAUAUCUUUUCCUAUGUGUAUGUGUGUUGUAUUCAUCCAUUACUUAUCUAUGCAUGUAUUAUCUAUCUGCCUAUCUAUCUGUCAGUCUAUUCAUCUAUCUAUCUAUCUAUCUAUCUAUCUAUCUAUCUAUAUAUCCGCCUAUCUGUCUAUGACAUGAGUGUAUACUAAUAAGUCUGUUUUGAAUCCGACGCCAAAGGCUUUAUUAUAGCUUUCUCCUUUUUCCAUAGCUGUACCUUCCUUCUCCAAACACUGGCUCCUGUUACAUUGACUGAAAUGACAGUAUAUUGACACGUGUAUUUAUUCCCUGGCAUGGAGCAUGGACCCCAGCCCUGCCUGCUGCUCCUGUCCCGGCGUGACAUCCUCCCAGGGGAAUUCGAAGCUGCUGGCCACGGUCUUCAUAACCUCCUGAGCUUGCCUAAAAGGCCUCCGUAUAAAAAUGCGAAGCAGAAGGAGGAAGCCAGAAAGGCGGAUUUGGAAAGGCCUUGUGUCUGAGGCAGUGCAUCUGGUCGGGGCCAGAGGACAUGUGCAGAACAAUGGCUUCAGAGCCACACAGGGGCAACUACGGCACACAUGAGUCACUGGGCCCCCUCCCUCGAUGUCUCGGUUUCCAUGUGAGUAAACUUGAAGGGUUGAUGAGAUGUCUCAAGGCUUGUCCAGCUCUGACUUUCUAGGGUU